GAUGAAGAACGCAGCGAAAUGCGAUAAGUAGUGUGAAUUGCAGAAUUCAGUGAAUCAUCGAAUCUUUGAACGCACAUUGCGCCCCUUGGUAUUCCAUGGGGCAUGCCUGUUCGAGCGUCAUCUACACCCUCAAGCUCUGCUUGGUGUUGGGCGUCUGUCCCGCCUUUGCGCGUGGACUCGCCCCAAAUUCAUUGGCAGCGGUCCUUGCCUCCUCUCGCGCAGCACAUUUGCGCUUCUCGAGGUGCGCGGGCCGCGUCCACGAAGCAACUAUUACCGUCUUUGACCUCGGAUCAGGUAGGGAUACCCGCUGAACUUAAGCAUAUCAUAAGCGGAGGA
rnacentral:misc_RNA from 1 species